CCUACGGGAGGCAGCAGUGGGGAAUAUUGGACAAUGGGCGGAAGCCUGAUCCAGCAAUACCGCGUGUGUGAAGAAGGCCUGAGGGUUGUAAAGCACUUUCACUGGGGAGGAAGAGCGGUUAGUUAAUACCUGAUCGUGUGACAUUACCCAGACAAGAAGCACCGGCUAACUCCGUGCCAGCAGCCGCGGUAAUACGGAGGGUGCAAGCGUUAAUCGGAAUUACUGGGCGUAAAGCGUGCGUAGGCGGCUUGUUAAGUCAGAUGUGAAAGCCCCGGGCUUAACCUGGGAACUGCAUUUGAAACUGGCAAGCUAGAGUUGAGUAGAGGGGAGUGGAAUUUCAGGUGUAGCGGUGAAAUGCGUAGAUAUCUGAAGGAACACCAGUGGCGAAGGCGACUCCCUGGACUCAAACUGACGCUGAGGCACGAAAGCGUGGGUAGCAAACAGGAUUAGAUACCCUGGUAGUCCACGCCGUAAACGAUGUCGACUAGCCGUUGGGCCCUUUUAGGGUUUAGUGGCGCAGCUAACGCAUUAAGUCGACCGCCUGGGGAGUACGGCCGCAAGGUUAAAACUCAAAUGAAUUGACGGGGGCCCGCACAAGCGGUGGAGCAUGUGGUUUAAUUCGAUGCAACGCGAAGAACCUUACCUACCCUUGACAUGUCUGAAAUCCCUGAGAGAUUGGGGAGUGCCUUCGGGAAUCAGAACACAGGUGCUGCAUGGCUGUCGUCAGCUCGUGUCGUGAGAUGUUGGGUUAAGUCCCGUAACGAGCGCAACCCUUGUCCUUAGUUGCCAGCGCGUAAUGGCGGGAACUCUAGGGAGACUGCCGGUGAUAAACCGGAGGAAGGUGGGGACGACGUCAAGUCCUCAUGGCCCUUAUGGGUAGGGCUAUACACGUCAUACAAUGGCCGGUACAGAGGGUUGCCAACCCGCGAGGGGGAGCUAAUCCCAGAAAACCGGUCGUAGUCCGGAUCGCAGUCUGCAACUCGACUGCGUGAAGUCGGAAUCGCUAGUAAUCGCGGAUCAGCUUGCCGCGGUGAAUACGUUCCCGGGUCUUGUACACACCGCCCGU
rnacentral:rRNA from 1 species